UACGGGGGGAGCAAGCGUUGUUCGGAUUUACUGGGCGUAAAGGGCGCGUAGGCGGCGUGACAAGUCACUUGUGAAAUCUCCGGGCUUAACUCGGAACGGUCAAGUGAUACUGUCGUGCUAGAGUGCGGAAGGGGCAACUGGAAUUCUUGGUGUAGCGGUGAAAUGCGUAGAUAUCGAGAGGAACACCUGCGGCGAAGGCGGGUUGCUGGGCUGACACUGACGCUGAGGCGCGAAAGCUAGGGGAGCGAACGGG
rnacentral:rRNA from 1 species